GCCGAGAAUGUUGGCGUAUACUUGUAGUCCCAGCUAUUCCAGAGGCUGAGGUGGGAGGAUUGCUUGAGCCCAGGAAGUCGAGGCUGCAGUGAGACAUGUUCACGCCACUGCACUCCAGCCUGGGCAACAGAGCAAGACCCUAUCUCUU
ensembl:misc_RNA Metazoa_SRP Metazoan signal recognition particle RNA